rnacentral:rRNA from 1 species
GUGGGGAAUCUUCCGCAAUGGACGAAAGUCUGACGGAGCGACGCCGCGUGAGUGAAGAAGGCCUUCGGGUCGUAAAGCUCUGUCAUCAGGGACGAACGGCCGGUGGAGUGGAAAGCCACCGGAUUGACGGUAGCUGAGAAGGAAGCCACGGCUAACUACGUGCCAGCAGCCGCGGUAAUACGUAGGUGGCAAGCGUUGUCCGGAAUUAUUGGGCGUAAAGCGCGCGCAGGUGGGAUCUUAAGUCCAUUUUUAAAGUUCGGAGCUCAACUCCGUGGUGGGAGGGAAACUGGGAUUCUUGAGUACCGGAGAGGAAAGCGGAAUUCCCCGUGUAGCGGUGAAAUGCGUAGAUAUGGGGAGGAACACCAGUGGCGAAGGCGGCUUUCUGGACGGUGUCUGACACUGAGGCGCGAAAGCCAGGGGAGCGAACGGGAUUAGAAACCCCUGUAGUCC